GGCGGAUGUAGCCAAGUGGAUCUAGGCAGUGGAUUGUGAAUCCACCAUGCGCG
rnacentral:tRNA from 1 species